rnacentral:rRNA from 1 species
UACGUAGGGACCGAGCGUUGUCCGGAUUUAUUGGGCGUAAAGAGCGUGUAGGCGGCCAGGUAGGUCGGUUGUGAAAACUGGAGGCUCAACCUUCAGAGGUCGACCGAAACCAUCUGGCUAGAGUCCGGGAGAGGAGAGUGGAAUUCCUGGUGUAGCGGUGAAAUGCGCAGAUAUCAGGAAGAACACCCGUGGCGAAAGCGGCUCUCUGGAACGGUACUGACGCUGAGACGCGAAAGCGUGGGGAGCGAACAGG